AUUCAGCUAACGAGUCCCAAACAGAACGAAACAUAUGUACUGAAU
rnacentral:hammerhead_ribozyme from 1 species